ACGGGCCGCACAAGCGGUGGAGCAUUGUGGUUUAAUUCGAAGCAACGCGAAGAACCUUACCAGGUCUUGACAUCCCGAUGCUAUUUCUAGAGAUAGAAAGUUACUUCGGUACAUCGGUGACAGGUGGUGCAUGGUUGUCGUCAGCUCGUGUCGUGAGAUGUUCGGUUAAGUCCGCUAACGAGCGCAACCCUCGCUGUGUGUUACAAGUGUCACACGGAACUGCCGGUCAUAAACCGGAGGAAGGUGAGGAUGAUGUCAAGUCAGCAUGACCUUUAUAUCCAGGGCUACACACACGCUACAAUGGUCUGUACAAUGGGUAGCCAAGCCGCGAGGCGGAGCCAAUCCUGAAAGCAGGCCUCAGUUCAGAUUGCAGUCUGCAACUCGACUGCAUGAAGCCGGAGUUGCUAGUAACCGCAGGUCAGCAAUACUGCGGUGAAUACGUUCCCGGGUCUU
rnacentral:rRNA from 1 species